UCAGUUAUCGUUUAUUUGAUAGUACCUUUACCUGGAUAACCGUGGUAAUUCUAGAGCUAAUACAUGCUAAAAAUCCCGACUUCGGAAGGGAUGUAUUUAUUAGAUAAAAAACCAAUGCCCUUCGGGGCUCCUUGGUGAUUCAUAAUAACUUAACGAAUCGCAUGGCCUUGCGCCGGCGAUGGUUCAUUCAAAUUUCUGCCCUAUCAACUUUCGAUGGUAGGAUAGUGGCCUACCAUGGUCUCAACGGGUAACGGGGAAUUAGGGUUCUAUUCCGGAGAGGGAGCCUGAGAAACGGCUACCACAUCCAAGGAAGGCAGCAGGCGCGCAAAUUACCCAAUCCCAAUUCGGGGAGGUAGUGACAAUAAAUACUGAUACAGGGCUCUUUUGGGUCUUGUAAUUGGAAUGAGUACAAUCUAAAUCCCUUAACGAGGAACAAUUGGAGGGCAAGUCUGGUGCCAGCAGCCGCGGUAAUUCCAGCUCCAAUAGCGUAUAUUAAAGUUGUUGCCGUUAAAAAGCUCGUAGUUGAACCUUGGGCCUGGCUGAUCUG
rnacentral:rRNA from 1 species